rnacentral:rRNA from 1 species
UACGAAGGGGGCUAGCGUGGCUCGGAAUCACUGGGCGUAAAGGGUGCGUAGGCGGGUCUUUAAGUCAGGGGGGAAAUCCUGGAGCUCAACUCCAGAACUGCCUUUGAUACUGAGGAUCUUGAGUUCGGGAGAGGUGAGUGGAACUGCGAGUGUAGAGGUGAAAUUCGUAGAUAUUCGCAAGAACACCAGUGGCGAAGGCGGCUCACUGGCCCGAUACUGACGCUGAGGCACGAAAGCGUGGGGAGCAAACAGG